rnacentral:lncRNA from 1 species
UGAAAUUUCCCCUGUGAGCACUCGGCAUGUUUCCCCGUUCCUUCCAGAUGACCCUCUCUUGCUGUUCCCACCGGGUGUCAUAAACUCCAUGACUACUUCCAAGAAACGUUAAGGCACUAGAAGCCAAAAUCCUGAAUCCCGAGUCUGUGACCAGCCACCAAACCAGUAUCCAAAGAACAAGAGUGGUACAAGCAGCAGUAGCAAAUGCCAUCUCCCAAUAAACGUGCCCAGAGGAAAAGGGGGAAGAAUACUCAAACACAGACACAGUGUUUGCCUGACUCACAGUUCAAGGAGAAGAAACUUGAUUUUCCCACUGGGACCUGAUCCCACGCAUGACUUCUGCAAGACCAAGCAUGGCCACCAACAGAUACGCUGUCAGAGCCAAACACAAGCCUUCAGGGGAACGUGA